CGGGCGCAAUAGAUAAACGAAACAUCCAAUGUCGAAUCAUCAAAUCACAGUCCUAACUAAAAAAUGUUACAACCCCGUUGUGCAGCGCAAUCUCGACAGCGCCGUGGAAUUGAUCAUCCCGGACGUUUAAUGUGAUCUCGAGGAAUGUUAUUCCACUUGUCCUGUAAAGCAAACUCAAGCUGACUUUAUGAUAUUGGUGGUGGUUUUCAUCGUCUAAACCAUGUCAAAUCUGAUGCAAAAUUUGCUCUAUCGGACCUAAAUCUGGCGAAACGCACGACUUUUGGCCAAGGCGGGUGCCAAACGUCUAUGUAACCACCACUGACGAUUUUUGGUACAUAAUGAAUGAUUUUUGGUCUACAGAAUUCGAUGUUUACACCAGACGGCCGUUUAGAUGUCGGCUGUGGUCCUCUUUAACCGUUGAAUUUCUGCGCAAAUGGUGCUUUACUGAAAUUGCUCCAUAGGAUCUACCGUGACCACCAUUGAACUCACGUGACCUUUGGACAUCCAUCAGAGUCGAUAUCGGAUAUGUUAAAGACCAAAUGUAUCGGUUUUGCUGAGCGUUUCUUGCUUUUUGAACCCCGGGAUGUGGCUUAUCAUUAACUGAUCCAUUUUUGUUGAAUUUGUG
rnacentral:lncRNA from 1 species